CAGUCGCCGCGGGAAUACGAAGGGUGCAAGCGUUACUCGGAAUUACUGGGCGUAAAGGGCGCGUAGGCGGACAGUUUAGUCGGGGGUGAAAGCCCGGGGCUCAACCCCGGAACUGCCUUCGAUACUGGCUGUCUUGAGUACGGGAGAGGUGUGUGGAACUCCGAGUGUAGAGGUGAAAUUCGUAGAUAUUCGGAAGAACACCAGUGGCGAAGGCGACACACUGGCCCGUUACUGACGCUGAUGCGCGAAAGCGUGGGGAGCAAACGGGAUUAGAUACCCCUGUAGUCCCUGUCUCUUAUAC
rnacentral:rRNA from 1 species